GAACAAAGAAGGUCGUGGUCGUUCGGCUCACGGUUGGAGUUCCCAAAAGAGAGUUGGUUCGCUCUCCCGAAUAGGCUGCAAAGCUGAAAAACAAGGAACCUUA
rnacentral:ncRNA from 2 species